UACGUAGGGUGCGAGUGUUGUCCGGAAUUAUUGGGCGUAAAGAGCUCGUAGGCGGUGUGUCACGUCGGCCGUGAAAACCUGCAGCUUAACUGUGGGCGUGCGGUCGAUACGGGCAUCACUGGAGUUCGGCAGGGGAGACUGGAAUUCCUGGUGUAGCGGUGAAAUGCGCAGAUAUCAGGAGGAACACCGGUGGCGAAGGCGGGUCUCUGGGCCGAUACUGACGCUGAGGAGCGAAAGCGUGGGGAGCAAACAGG
rnacentral:rRNA from 1 species